UACUGGGUGAGCUUAUCAAUCAUUUUUGCAGUCAGUUUCCCUUUACCUGAGAGAGUUUUUUUGUUGAUUUUUUUCCAGUUUUGGUUUCACUAUCAGUCACAGUUUUUUUGACUAAAUUACGCAAACGAGUUCCCAUCCUUUUUUGGACGUGUCCAACACAUUCUUUUUUAUUGAUUAGAAAAUUUUCACCAUAAGGUUUAGCAUUGAUAACACCACUAUAUGUUUUCGAGUCACCAUCUCCAAUAUAGUUGCGAAUCUUCACGUUAUUCUCUUGCGAUCUUUUGAACAUUAUGACAAUUGCGUCGACUUCCAUGUUACCGGAUGCUCCUUUGUCUUUUGCAAAAAAUUGAUCUUCAUUAAU